GUGGGGAAUUUUGGACAAUGGGGGCAACCCUGAUCCAGCCAUGUCGCGUGUGUGAAGAAGGCCUUUUGGUUGUAAAGCACUUUAAGCGAGGAGGAGGCUACCGAGAUUAAUACUCUUGGAUAGUGGACGUUACUCGCAGAAUAAGCACCGGCUAACUCUGUGCCAGCAGCCGCGGUAAUACAGAGGGUGCAAGCGUUAAUCGGAUUUACUGGGCGUAAAGCGCGCGUAGGUGGCCAAUUAAGUCAAAUGUGAAAUCCCCGAGCUUAACUUGGGAAUUGCAUUCGAUACUGGUUGGCUAGAGUAUGGGAGAGGAUGGUAGAAUUCCAGGUGUAGCGGUGAAAUGCGUAGAGAUCUGGAGGAAUACCGAUGGCGAAGGCAGCCAUCUGGCCUAAUACUGACACUGAGGUGCGAAAGCAUGGGGAGCAAACAGGAUUAGAUACCCUAGUAGUCC
rnacentral:rRNA from 1 species